GACGAACGCUGGCGGCGUGCUUAACACAUGCAAGUCGAACGGUAAGGCCCUUCGGGGUACACGAGCGGCGAACGGGUGAGUAACACGUGGGUGACCUGCCCCCAACUCUGGGAUAAGCCCGGGAAACUGGGUCUAAUACCGGAUAUGACCGUGAGUUGCAUGAGUCUCGGUGGAAAGGUUUUCGGUUGGGGAUGGGCCCGCGGCCUAUCAGCUUGUUGGUGGGGUGAUGGCCUACCAAGGCGACGACGGGUAGCCGGCCUGAGAGGGCGACCGGCCACACUGGGACUGAGACACGGCCCAGACUCCUACGGGAGGCAGCAGUGGGGAAUAUUGCGCAAUGGGCGGAAGCCUGACGCAGCGACGCCGCGUGGGGGAUGACGGCCUUCGGGUUGUAAACCUCUUUCGACCGGGACGAAGAGAAAUUGACGGUACCGGUAUAAGAAGCACCGGCCAACUACGUGCCAGCCGCCGCCGUAAUAC
rnacentral:rRNA from 1 species